rnacentral:sRNA from 1 species
AACUAGCCCCGAUUGAAGUAAAAAUCCUUUUGUGCCGGUGUUCGGUACAAAAGAUUGUAGCGGAAAGCGGGAGAAAUG